rnacentral:rRNA from 1 species
AUGGCUGGCGACUGGUCCUCGUCGUCGUCGACGGCCGCAGUGCCGUCGUCGUCGGGCAUGGCGAGAAGGCUGGCUCGGCACCACCAGGCCGUGCUCGGGUUCCUGCUCGGUUUCUUCGUCAGCGUCGUGCUCUACACCACGGUGUCCGGCCCGAAUUCCAUUGCAGCAGUGCAUGACAUAGAAAAUGGGCAGAAGGACGUACUAACCAAGACGAUGGGGAAAGAACGUAUCGAAGACAAAAAGUUAGUAGAUGGGACCGACAUGAAUAAGAAAACUGCUAAGGUGCAAGUGCAUAGCACAGACCAGUUAGGUCAAACGGCAAAUGAUGCUAGCGGCAAGUUGAAGGAAGAGCUCAUUCGGCAAGAACUCGAUCAAGACGGUGAUGGGAAUAAUAGAAGCAACGUCACACGUGGUACUCCACUCAAGCCCAUCUGCGACCUGUCCGACCCUAGGUAUGACAUCUGCGAGAUCUCUGGGGACGCCCGUGCCAUCGGCGCCAACUGUACCGUCCUCUAUGUCCCGCCCGCCGAUGAGCGCGGCCCUGAUGGCGCGGAAUGGACCAUCAGGGACCAGUCUCGCAAGGACCUAGGAUACAUCGACAAGGUGAAUGUCAAGACCCUGAGCGCCGCCCAGUCCCUGGUGGCGCCGGGGUGCACCUCCCGGCAUGCUGUCCCGGCCGUCGUGUUCGCCAUGAACGGGCUGACGUCCAACCCGUGGCACGACUUCAGCGACGUCCUGAUCCCGCUCUUCAUCACCACCCGUGCCUACGACGGCGAGGUCCAGUUCCUCGUAACCGACUUCCGGCCGUGGUUCGUGGACAAGUACCGGCUCAUCCUCACCAACCUGUCACGCUACGACAUCAUCGACUUCAACAAGGACACUGGUGUCCGGUGCUACCCACACAUCGUAGUCGGCCUCCGCAGCCACAGCGACCUCGGCAUCGACCCGACCCGCACGCCAUACAACUACACAAUGUUGGACUUCCGCAUGUACAUCCGAGACGUCUUCUCACUGCCGCCAGAAGGCCAAGGAAUCCCGUUCAAGGAGGCUAACAAGAAGAAGAAAAACGGUGGCACUAGCACGGAGGAACAAAAGCCGCGCCUCAUGCUCAUCAACCGCGCCGGGAUCAGGAAGUUCGUCAACCUUCCAGAGAUCUCCGCGGCGGUGCAGGCCGCCGGGUUCGAGGUGCUGGUCGUGGAGCCGCUGCGUGACAUGAGACUCGAGGAAUUCUCUCGGGAGGUGGACUCGUGCGACGUGCUGAUGGGCGCGCACGGGGCCGCGCUCACAAGCUUCUUCUUCCUCCGCACCAACGCGGUCAUGCUGCAGGUGGUGCCAUGGGGCUUAGAGAGGGAGGCCAUGAGUUACUUCGGCGUGCAUGCCAAGGACAUGAUGUUGCAGGACAUGGAGUACAGCAUCACCGUGGAGGAGAGCACGCUGUAUGAGAAGUAUGGCAAAGACCACCUGGCGGUACGUGACCCAGAGGCACUACGUAAGCAGGGGUGGCAGUUGUUAAGGAAGUACUUGUGGGACGAGCAGGACAUCAGGCUUAACGUCACCAGAUUUUCUCCCACUCUACACCAGCUGCUUCGAACGCUCGGUGAAUAG